GAGGCUUUUCUCCUCUCUCUCUCUCUCUCUCUCUCUCUCUAAGAGCAUUAACUGUAGAGUGUUCUGGUGGUGACAGGGCUGUCAGGGUCAGAUGGCUGCUCAGCCUGAUUAGACCAGCUCACAGCAGAUCCUCAAGCCCGGUGCACUGCCCUGCUACAAGCGAGGUAGAGCCACAGACCAGGCACAUAACCGUGCACCGCAGUGAGAGGCUGGGAGGGUACGGGGGUUGGGGUGGAUAGUUCAGUGUGACAGUUGGCCAGAGCCACAGGUUGUUGCGGAGAGACUUUUCUGCUUUGCGAUCAAGAUAUUUCAGCUUCUAGGGGCAGGAAAAAAGGGCUGAAAACAGGUGGACUUUGCUGUGGUGAAGAGGCAGAAGAACUAAUGUUUAGUCUGUUUUGGGGAUGACACUGAAGAACUAAGCGAACUGCUGGUUGAUGGAGUUUGUGCGGCGGAGUGGUGACUACUGCCACGCCCAACACAUUUAGACCCUAUCUGGGAUGAAGCUGCACUAUGCUGUACUGGGGCCUUGAACCCUGAAAGACCAUUGGUCAUUGCCUCCUGAACCAGCCAGCUCAUGGGGUAACAAGUGGAGUCUCGCAACACCAGAAGCUAACUGGAGAGAGAGAGAGAGAGAAGGAAAGAGAGAGCUACUGAGAAAGACAAAGAGAGAAAGAGAAGAAGACAAUCA